AACGAACGCUGGCGGCGUGGAUAAGACAUGCAAGUCGGACGCUUGUAUUUUGUAGCAAUAUGAGGAUACGGGAGUGGCGAAAGGGUGCGUAACACGUGGGUAAUUUGUCUGAGAGUUCAGGAUAAUUCGCUGAAAGGCGGAGUAAUACUGGAUGUGGAUAUUGGUUGGGAACAGCUGAUAUCUAAAGCCGGGGACCGCAAGGCCUGGUGCUCUUAGGUAAGCCCGCGACCUAUCAGCUAGUUGGUGAGGUAAGAGCCCACCAAGGCGGAGACGGGUAGCUGGUCUGAGAGGACGACCAGCCACACUGGAACUGAGACACGGUCCAGACACCUACGGGUGGCAGCAGUCGAAGUAAUUUUUCUCAAGUACGGGGAAACCUGAAGGAGCGACGCCGCGUGGGGAUGAAGGGCCUUCGGCUCGUAAACCCCUGUCAUUUGUGAGCAAGUGUUAUUGUUUAAGAGAUGAUGACAUUGAUAGUAGCAAAAGAGGAAGGGACGGCUAACUCUGUGCCAGCAGCGGC
rnacentral:rRNA from 1 species